rnacentral:hammerhead_ribozyme from 1 species
AUCCAACUGAUGAAUUCUAAAUGGGACGAAACGUGCGCCCUGGAU